rnacentral:rRNA from 2 species
GCGGUGUGCCUAAUACAUGCAAGUCGAACGCUUUGGCCCAACUGAUUGAACGUGCUUGCACGGACUUGACGUUGGUUUACCAGCGAGUGGCGGACGGGUGAGUAACACGUAGGUAACCUGCCCCAAAGCGGGGGAUAACAUUUGGAAACAGAUGCUAAUACCGCAUAACAAUUUGAAUCGCAUGAUUCAAAUUUAAAAGAUGGCUUCGGCUAUCACUUUGGGAUGGACCUGCGGCGCAUUAGCUUGUUGGUAGGGUAACGGCCUACCAAGGCUGUGAUGCGUAGCCGAGUUGAGAGACUGAUCGGCCACAAUGGAACUGAGACACGGUCCAUACUCCUACGGGAGGCAGCAGUAGGGAAUCUUCCACAAUGGGCGCAAGCCUGAUGGAGCAACACCGCGUGAGUGAAGAAGGGUUUCGGCUCGUAAAGCUCUGUUGUUAGAGAAGAACGUGCGUGAGAGCAACUGUUCACGCAGUGACGGUAUCUAACCAGAAAGUCACGGCUAACUACGUGCCAGCAGCCGCGGUAAUACGUAGGUGGCAAGCGUUAUCCGGAUUUAUUGGGCGUAAAGCGAGCGCAGGCGGUUUUGAUAAGUCUGAUGGUGAAAGCC